rnacentral:tRNA from 1 species
GUUAGUAUAGUUUAAUUAAAACAUUAGACUGUGGCUCUAAAAAUAGAGGUUUAAACCCACUUACAAACC